rnacentral:lncRNA from 1 species
AGGGUUCAGGCGCUGCAGCAGUUCAUCGCUGUUGUCGUCGCCGGAGAUCUGAGAGAGGGAGUCCGAGUCACGUCGGCGGCAGCUUUUCUUGUUGCAGUCGCCGAGAAGGGAGAAGAGAGAAGGGAGCUGGAGCCUGUCGCCGCUUGCUCCGGCGAGCUCCAACGGCCGUGAAGUCCGAGCAGUUGCGAGGGAGAGAGGCGAGCAGUCGUGAGGGAGAAAGAGAUGAGCAGUCGUCGGGGAGAAGAAAGAUGCC